rnacentral:rRNA from 1 species
AUGGCCAUGGCGCAAGGACAAGGGGCACGGGCCACGAGGGAGGCCGUGCCUCCGGUGUCCCUUGUGGCCAUCAUCGGCGGCGGGAUCAGCGGCCUGGCCGCGGCGAAGCAGAUGGCGGCUUACGACCCCGUCGUGUUCGAGGCGAUGCCGUCCGUCGGUGGGGUGUGGAAGCACUGCGUCUACCGCACCACGCGGCUGCAGACGCCCCGCCCGGACUACGAGUUCUCCGACUACUCCUGGAAGAACCGCGACGACCCUUCCUUCCCGACCCACACCGAGAUCGUCGACUACCUCGAGGGCUACGCCGACGAGUUCGACCUCUGGCGCUACAUCUCGUUCGGCUCCAAGGUGGUGGACAUCAAGUUCCUCGGCGGUGCCGAGGGCGGGUUCACCGAGCUGUGGAGCGGCACCGGCAAGGAUCCGCUCCGGGGCAAGCCCAUGUGGGAGGUCGGCAUCAUCACCGGCGACUCCAACACCGUUCAGUAUUACAAGUUUGAGUUCGUGGUGAUGUGCACGGGUAAGUACGGCGACGUGCCGCGGAUGCCGGUGUUCCCGCCGGGGAAGGGGCCGGAGGUGUUCAAGGGGACGGUGAUGCACUCGCUGGACUACUGCAAGCUGAGCGAGGAGGAGACCGUUGAGCUGAUGAGAGGAAAGAAGGUCGUGGUGGUUGGGUACAAGAAGAGCGCUAUCGAUCUAGCCAACGAAUGUGCCCAGGCAAACCAAGUCAAGGGAGGGCAGCCGUGCACGAUGCUGGUACGGACCCUGCACUGGGUGGUGCCAUCGUACUCCAUCUGGGGCUUGCCAUUCUCCAUGUUCUACUCCACACGCUUGUCUCAACUCUUCUACGAGCGGCCCAACCAAGGGUUCUUCCGAUCCCUCCUCUGCCGCCUCAUGAGCCCACUGAGGGCGGGGGUGUCGAAGUUCAUCGAGUCGUACCUGUCAUGGAAGCUGCCGCUGGGCAAGUACGGUCUGACGCCAGAUCACCCCUUCGUCGAGGACUACGCCAGCUGCCAGAUGGCCAUCCUCCCAGAGGGCUUCUUCGACAUGGCGGACCGCGGCCUCGUCCGCUUCCAGAGGGCCUCCGCCGGCUGGUGCUUCUCCGAGAACGGCGUGGUCCUCGACGACGGCACCAAGGUGGAGGCCGACCUCGUCUUCCUGGCCACCGGCUUCGAGGGCAAGUACAAGCUCCGCGAGGUCCUGCCAAAGCCCUUCCGUGACCUCGUCGUCGGCAAGUCUUCCAUGAUGCCGCUCUACCGUGGCCCGAUCCACCCGCUGAUUCCCAACAUGGCGUUCGUCGAGUUUGUGGAGAGCGUGUCCAACCUGCACACGUCGGAGCUGCGGUGCCGGUGGCUGUCGGGGCUGCUGGAGGGGCGGUUCGAGCUGCCGAACGUGAAGGCCAUGAUGGGGCACGUCGCCGGCGAGGCCGACGCCAUGCGCCGCACCGAGCGGUUCUACCGCCGCCACUGCAUCUCCACCUACAGCAUCCACGACAGCGACGGCAUGUGCGCCGACCUGGGCUCCGCCACGCUCCGCAAGGCCAACUGGAUCGCCGAGCUUUUCGCCCCAUACAAUAACAAGGACUACAAGGAACAGUAA